UAGAUUAAAGUAAAUGUUGAAUGAAAAUCAAAAGGAUGAAAUAUUAGGCGGGUAACUUUUUACACACAUUUACUCUUCUCUUGAGAAAAGAUGCAGGGUUUCUAGCUUGAGAAGAAAGAAUCAAUAAGCACCAUUGAGCGUUUAAUGGGUGCUCCCCUCUCCAUCGAUCUCCGAAGCAAAUACAACCUGAGAUUGAUCCCCAUUUGCAAGGAUGACGAGGUUUAGGUCAUCUAUGGGAGUUACAAGGGCCGAGAAGGGAAGCUCGUAUAGGUUUACCGCCGUAAGUGGGUGAUCCACAUCGAGAAGAUCCCAGAGAGAAGGUUAGUGGAUCCACGAUCAACAUCGGCAUUAACACAUCCAAGGUCGUCAUAACGAAACUCAAACUCGACAAGGAUCACAAAUCUCUCCUUGAUUGCAAGGCCAAGGGCAGAGCGGCUACUAAUAAGGACAAGGGCACUAAGUUCACUCCCGAGGAUAUCAUGUAGAACAAUGAUUAAUGAAUCUAUUUGUCGAUCUCCAUUCAGAUCUCUCACACUCGUUUGUGCACAGAUAAUUGAAACCCUAGAAACCUGGAGAAAGGAUGAGCAUGAAGGACGAUCUCCCUGGCAAAGGAGGGGGCUUCUCUAUAGAUCCAAAUCUACCGAGAUGGGUCUGCCAGAACUGUUGGUACGCUCUCUGCAUUAUAAGUGUCGACUCUUACGCAGACAAGUUCUUCAACUAUCCAUUUUCUCGAUCUGUUUCCAAGGAAAAAGAGAAGGGUGGUUAGGUAGCUUACAAAGGAGAAGGUUAAUUGUGGGUCUUGUUUGGAUAAAGAUAUGACCUUGACUUUAAUCUUCAAAGGGAAGAAUGAAGGCAACUGUCUCAACACAAUCAACCAUGUUAGUGUUGCCUUAUGAUACAAUCUUAAACCCAUUGAAUUUACAAAAUGUGGUUAGCUAAUUCCAUGGUCAGGAACUCAGGAUUAAUGGCCUCCAGCAUUCUAUGUAUUUUGCAGGUUUUCUUUCUUUAGAAAAUAAACACAGUGGCAUUAGGAUGGAAAGACUAUAAAUUCUAGAUUGUUGAACAUGUCAACAAGACACAACACAUAUGGGUGCAGAAUUUAAAGAAUAAAUCUAAUUAUUUUACUUUUUUUGUUUAAUAUGUAACAAGAAAGCUAGUUAUAAUAUAUUUGUUAUAAUGGAUGUAUGUAAACUUUUGAAUUUGGAAGUAUAUCUUGUAUUUUCUUA